rnacentral:rRNA from 1 species
GACGAACGCUGGCGGCGUGCUUAACACAUGCAAGUCGAACGGAGUGGCGAACGGGUGAGUAACACGUGGGUGAUCUGCCUUGCACUUCGGGAUAAGCUUGGGAAACUGGGUCUAAUACCGGAUAGUGCAAGAUGAGCUCGCGGCCUAUCAGCUUGUUGGUGGGGUAAUGGCCUACCAAGGCGUCGACGGGUAGCCGGCCUGAGAGGGGGUACGGCCACAGUGGUACUGAGAGAGGGCCCAGAGGCGUACGGGAGGCAGCGGGGGGGAAUAUGGCGCAGUGGGGGGAAGCCUGAGGCAGCGACGCCGCGUGGGGGAUGAAGGCUUUCGGGUGGGAAACUCCUUCCGACAGGGACGCGGUACCUGUAUAAGAAGCACCGGCUAACUACGUGCCAGCAGCCGCGGUAAUAC